UUAGGGAGUGGUUGGAAUUACAGGCCUCAAAGGUGGCAGAGGAACUCAAGGAGCAGCUGGUCCCAGUGGUUUCCCAGGAUCCCCAGGAGGUGUCGGCCUAGCAGGCUCUGCUGGUCCAGUUGGUGAGCCUGGUCCUAUUGGAGCCCCAUGUAAAGAGG